GCCUCAGUAGCUCAAUGGAUAGAGCGCAAGUCUACUAAACUUAGGGUUGAGGGUUCGAGACCCUCCUGAGGCA
rnacentral:tRNA from 1 species